UAAAGGGUCCUGAAGGAACGUUGAAGACGACGACGUUGAUAGGCCGGGUGUGUAAGCGCAGCGAUGCGUUGAGCUAACCGGUACUAAUGAACCGUGAGGCUUAACCUUACAACGCCGAAG
rnacentral:rRNA from 1 species